rnacentral:tRNA from 1 species
GAGGGUGUAGCUCAAAUGGUAGAGCGCAUGCCUAGCAUGCACGUGGUCCUGGUUGCAAUCCCCAGUACCUCCA